UAUUAGGUUGGUGCAAAAGUAUUUGUGGCUUUUGCCAUUGAAUAUAAUGCACAACCUAUAAAAAGUAAGCACAAA
rnacentral:miRNA from 1 species